rnacentral:rRNA from 1 species
CGAGUGGCGAACGGGUGAGUAACACGUGGGUGAUCUGCCCUGCACUUCGGGAUGAGCCUGGGAAACUGGGUCUAAUACCGGAUAGGACGAUGGUUUGGAUGCCAUUGUGGAAAGUUUUUCGGUGUGGGAUGAGCUCGCGGCCUAUCAGCUUGUUGGUGGGGUAAUGGCCUACCAAGGCGUCGACGGGUAGCCGGCCUGAGAGGGUGUACGGCCACAUUGGGACUGAGAUACGGCCCAG